UACGUAGGUGGCAAGCGUUGUCCGGAUUUACUGGGCGUAAAGAGCGCGCAGGCGGUCGGAUCAGUCGAAUGUGAAAGCCCCCGGCUCAACUGGGGAGGGUCAUUCGAUACUGUCCGACUCGAAGGCAGGAGAGGGAAGCGGAAUUCCCGGUGUAGUGGUGAAAUGGCGUAGAUAUCGGGAGGAACACCAGUGGCGAAGGCGGCUUUCUGGCCUGUUCUUGACGCUGAGGCGCGAAAGCUAGGGGAGCGAACGGGAUUGA
rnacentral:rRNA from 1 species